UACGAAGGGGGCUAGCGUUGUUCGGAAUUACUGGGCGUAAAGCGCGCGCAGGCGGCUAUCCAAGUCAGUGGUGAAAGCCCGGAGCUCAACUCCGGAAUUGCCAUUGAAACUGUUUAGCUUGAGGACGAGAGAGGUGAGUGGAAUUCCCAGUGUAGAGGUGAAAUUCGUAGAUAUUGGGAAGAACACCGGUGGCGAAGGCGGCUCACUGGCUCGUUUCUGACGCUCAGGCGCGACAGCGUGGGGAGCAAACAGG
rnacentral:rRNA from 1 species